UACGGAGGGGGCUAGCGUUGUUCGGAAUUACUGGGCGUAAAGCGCACGUAGGCGGCUUUGUAAGUUAGAGGUGAAAGCCCCGGGCUUAACCUGGGAAUGGCAUUUGGGACUGCAAGGCUUGAGUGCGGCAAAGGAGACUGGAAUUCCUGGUGUAGCAGUGAAAUGCGUAGAUAUCAGGAGGAAUACCGAUGGCGAAGGCAGGUCUCUGGGCUGACACUGACGCUCAUGCACGAAAGCGUGGGGAGCAAACAGG
rnacentral:rRNA from 1 species